AGCAGGACGGUGGUCAUG
rnacentral:snRNA from 1 species